GAACGCUGGCGGCAUGCCUUACACAUGCAAGUCGAACGGCAGCGCGGACUUCGGUCUGGCGGCGAGUGGCGAACGGGUGAGUAAUGUAUCGGAACGUACCAUUCAGUGGGGGAUAACGCAGCGAAAGUUGCGCUAAUACCGCAUAUUCUGUGCGCAGGAAAGCAGGGGAUCGCAAGACCUUGCGCUGAUUGAGCGGCCGAUAUCAGAUUAGCUAGUUGGUGAGGUAAAGGCUCACCAAGGCGACGAUCUGUAGCGGGUCUGAGAGGAUGAUCCGCCACACUGGAACUGAGACACGGUCCAGACUCCUACGGGAGGCAGCAGUGGGGAAUUUUGGACAAUGGGCGCAAGCCUGAUCCAGCCAUGCCGCGUGCAGGAAGAAGGCCUUCGGGUUGUAAACUGCUUUAGUCUAGGAAAAAAGGGGUGCGAGGUUAAUACCCUCGUGCUUUGAUGGUACUGGAAGAAUAAGCACCGGCUAACUACGUG
rnacentral:rRNA from 1 species